rnacentral:rRNA from 1 species
UACGUAGGGGGCCAGCGUUGUUCGGAAUUACUGGGUGUAAAGGGUUCGUAGGCGGUGCGGCAAGUUGGGAGUGAAAUCUCUGGGCUCAACCCAGAGACGGCUUCCAAAACUGCCGGGCUUGAGUAUGGGAGAGGUGAGUGGAAUUUCCGGUGUAGCGGUGAAAUGCGUAGAUAUCGGAAGGAACACCUGUGGCGAAAGCGGCUCACUGGACCAUAACUGACGCUGAU